rnacentral:rRNA from 1 species
GACGAACGCUGGCGGCGUGCUUAACCCAUGCAAGUCGAGCGGAGCGGCGAACGGGUGAGUAACGCGUUAGUAACUGCCCCCCUCUCUGGGAUAACAGUUGGAAACGCCUGCUAAUACCGGAUAGUGGGGGAUGACUCGCGUCCUAUCAGCGUGUUGGUGGGGAAGUGGUCUACCAAGGCGACGACUGGUAACCGGCCUGAUAGGGCGACCGGCCACAAUGGGCUGAGAUACGGCCCCAAAGACUAGGAGAGGCAGCAGUGGGGAAUAUUGCACAAUGGGGGAAACGCUGAUGCAGCAACGCCGAGUGCGGGAUGACGGACUUCGAGUUGUAAACCGCUUUCAACCAUGACGCGGUAGUGACAGAAGAGGCAAAGACUAACUACGUGCCAGCAGCCGCGGUAAUAC